rnacentral:misc_RNA from 1 species
GGUACUGCGCAAGCGUUUGUGAUUUUGUAUUUGUUUUGCUUGGUCUUAAAGCAUCUCUUCUAUUGACCUAACAAUGUUGCAGGAAACGAGGGCCAACAGGACGACGUAUCUGAAGUGGUCAUUAAUGAAGAUUGCGCAUGCGAGCUUCCUGAUAAUUUGGAAGAAAGUGAAUACAAUGACCCACCUGUGCAGGAUUGGCUUCCCCCCCUUUCAAGCUCUUGCUCACGAACAACAGCAGAACAAGACGCUGCAAGGGCACUUGUUGAACUUCAAGAGCUGGGCCACACACCUGAGCUAAACAAAUCCGUUCAAGUGAACUCACUGGACUUCACACAAAAAUUUAGGAUUUCGGACGUGCUUCUUUCUGAUGCUCACCUAAACACUUUGACUGGCGUACCUUCUCAUGCACUUCUAAACAAGAUUGUUUCACUCGUAGAGAAGUAUGAGGUGGCAAAUAGGAUGGAAGCUUCUGUGAGGGACAGAGUUAUUUUGGUGUUCAUAGUUCUGAAACAGGCUAUGUCAUUUUCCUG